rnacentral:rRNA from 1 species
UACAGAGGGUGCAAGCGUUAAUCGGAAUUACUGGGCGUAAAGCGCGCGUAGGUGGUUCGUUAAGUUGGAUGUGAAAUCCCCGGGCUCAACCUGGGAACUGCAUUCAAAACUGACAAGCUAGAGUAUGGUAGAGGGUGGUGGAAUUUCCUGUGUAGCGGUGAAAUGCGUAGAUAUAGGAAGGAACACCAGUGGCGAAGGCGACCACCUGGACUGAUACUGACACUGAGGUGCGAAAGCGUGGGGAGCAAACAGG